UUCCUGGGUCAUCAGAUCCACAGCUACGCCCAGCUCAUCUCCAUCACCUUCACCUCCGAGACCCCCUCACUGCUGCCGGACCACGUCACCUUGCUGCUGCGCGGCUCCGGAGUCACCCUCACUGCUGACCUUUCACCCCAAACAGUGCUUGACCCUAAGCCCCGCCUCACAUGGCAGCAGACCUUCACUGUCAGGCUCCAUGAAAGUGAGAUAGGAUUUAAACCAGCGUUGUCUGCGUUUGAGUUCCAACAACUGCUUUACAACCUGACGUCUCUUAGAAUCAGCAACGCCGGAGGACAGAACUACACGUCGCAGCUCGCGGAGGUAUCCCUCACCUCAGCUUCCAUCUCCUCCGGCCCACCAAAUCCUCAUGCCCCCUGGGUAGAGUUUUGUUCCUGUCCCCCGGGAUUUGCGGGACAGUUUUGUGAGCGGUGUGCCCCAGGGUUCACCCGGGAAGACCCCAGCAGAGGGCCGCUCUCCAAAUGUGUGCCCUGCCACUGCCACGGGCAUGGAACCUGCCACCCAGAGACAGG